rnacentral:rRNA from 1 species
GAUGAACGCUAGCUACAGGCUUAACACAUGCAAGUCGAGGGGUAACGAGAGGAAAGCUUGCUUUCCUUGUCGACGACCGGCGCACGGGUGAGUAACGCGUAUCCAACCUGCCCCCAACUAGGGAAUAACCUUGCGAAAGUAAGACUAAUACCCUAUAAUUUCCUCAGAUGUCAUCUGACGAGGAAUAAAGAUUUAUCGGUCGUGUAUGGGGAUGCGUCUGAUUAGCUUGUUGGCGGGGUAACGGCCCACCAAGGCAACGAUCAGUAGGGGUUCUGAGAGGAAGGUCCCCCACAUUGGAACUGAGACACGGUCCAAACUCCUACGGGAGGCAGCAGUGAGGAAUAUUGGUCAAUGGGCGGAAGCCUGAACCAGCCAAGUAGCGUGCAGGAUGACGGCCCUAUGGGUUGUAAACUGCUUCUAUACAGGAAUAAAGUUAGCCACGUGUGGUUAUUUGUAGGUACUGUAUGAAUAAGGACCGGCUAAUUCCGUGCCAGCCGCCGCAGUAA